CUGGGAUGAGGUCAGAGGUUGAAAGAAGCAGACAUGCAAGAGUCUGAAAGCACUGUGAUAUUAAAUGACACUGCAAUGUUAUUAUGGUCAAGUUUAGCAAGUAGCCAGAACCCAUAUCCAAUAAAUCAAGGUGAUGAAAUUCACCUACUGAUCAGAAACCAUGAGACUAGAAUAUAAGGAGAAUCAAUGAUUACAAUAUUUGGGUAAAAACUAAGAGGAUAGGGUAACAGAAACCAAGAUAGCCAGUUUGAGCAAAAUAGGGUCAAGGAAAAUAAAAUGCGCACUUCAUUUAGCAAACAAAUAGAUACCUGUAAGUGGCGGUAUCUUCUUUAUGUGCCAGGAAGUCUUUUUCACAUGUUCUAAUGAAAUAGAAAGGAAUAUGAAGGUGUGGCUAGCCUAGGAUAUCAAAUAAAGACAGGUAUGUAAAAUUGGAUAGGUGAUGAGCAGUUUAACUGACAAAAAUGGAGACUUGUCACAUUCUACUCAAAAGCAGGAACUUCUCCAUAUUCUUACAUGCAGUGCAGUCAUUUGGGAGAAUGCUGGGGAAGAAGUGCUCAUCAACUGAAAGCUGGUCUAGACAAUUUCUGACUGUUCUAGAAUGAGCUGGAGAAUGGUGUCAUCAGAUAGAAAGAAGCCUCACUGCAUAAGGAAAACCCUAGACAUGGAGUCCAGCGAACAGGGAGAAUCCCUUUAUUCAUCAAAAUGCCUCUUGACCUUGGAUUCAUUUAUUAUAACUUCUGCUAACAGUCCUACAUUUAGACCUUUAGGCCUUUGAAGGUUUGAUCACCAGGAUAUGGUGGUGACCAGAGAAAUGAAUGUGAAGGAUCACAAAAAACCAAAUGAUCAGGAGAAGGUAAGAACUGG
ensembl:lincRNA